AACACAUUCUCGUCCCACUUCAUUAUGCAGCCUUGGACUGAGUUGAAGUCCUCAGGACUUUGGACUUGGACUUACUCCAGCGGCCUUCCUGGCUCUUCGGCUUGUGGGCUGUGUACAAUAGUAAGGAGGCGCUUGGUUCCCUUAUCACAUUAGCCAGUUCUUAUGAUACAUCUGCUUUCUUACAUCAGUGUGGAUUCUGUUUCUCUGGAGGAUUUAGGUGCAUAGAGUCUCUACGCGGUGGCUUUACAGUGAUGAUGUUGAUACAGCUUCCCUCACCUCAUUUUUUACAACUGCAAUAAUUGUUCCCAGAAGUCACUACACGCGGUGAAGUCUGGGCUGACACCCUUUGAUGUGUCUCUCCCAUGAAAACUCGCCAUCCUCGCACAAGCACAGCAGCAGCAGCAGCAGCAGCAGCAGCAGCAGCAGCAGCAGCAGCAGCAGCAGCAGCAGCAGCAGCAGCAGCAGCAGCGAAGCACACUGCUGCACGCAGUGGUCAGGCGUUUCCCCCAGGAUGAAUGAGGCCACCGUGAGGAUCCAUCACUACCAUUUCCAACCCUUUCUUUGUUGGAGAUGAGCCACUGGCAGAUGGCCCUCCUCCACUGACAUGGUCUCGGAGUUGGAAAAUAGGUUUUCUACAAGAGUCAGAGAUUGGUAAUCAGGGGUAUUGUUUAUCUUUCUUUCUCCCUGUGAAGCUUUGUACCAUUUAGUUCCAGGACAGGUAGUUUAUCUUGGGUGAUUCCCAUUCCUUCCUCACAGAACAGCUUAAUCCAGGAUUGUUUUCAAGACUCCCAGGCUGUGGCAGGCUCUUGAGAUUUUUUUUUUCACAAUGUGCUUUAGCUCUAUGUGAAUGAAAUUCUUGGCUGAUGUCCUAUUAACGAGAUCCAGCAGUAUAAAGUUCCUAAACCACUAAAGCUAAUCAUCACAUUUCUCUUGUUUCUACAAGACUGGAAAGCUAAUUCUACCAGCUGUGAGUGGCAGAGACAAGGAAGAUCAUUUAUCUUAUCACAUUGAAGGGAAACCUGUCAAUGACAAUUCAGGAAAUGGAAAGCAAGCACGCAAUUGAGGUUACCAUUCUGUUGGGAAGGUGGGGAAUUUGUAGGGGCCUCCAUUUCAUUUCAGUGAUGUUAUUCUUCUAGUCAGAAACAUCUUCCUACUAACUUGCACAGGAUGAACAAGAUCAAGGUCAUGAGUCAAGCUUUAAGUGGCCUAAUGCACAGCCUUAACUUCAUCCAGUUUGUCACAUGGUGCUGUCCAACACAAGAGGGACACUGGCCAUUGAACAUGCAUGCACCCCUAAAAAUCUAGCUCUAACAUUAGAAAAGCAACCCAGAAACAAUGUGUUAGCAUUAUCUGCUCUGGAAGAAUGAACAUUUAUACAAAAAGCCACUCACGUUCUAUUUUGGGAUUAGUUUAACUGUGUUGUAGAACGCUCAGCAAUCAAUAAACAGUUCUCGUUUUCCCUUCACAAAUCUAUCUACCCUUUGGCCCUGAGACACUGAGUAAGGUACUUGAUAUUUCAGGCCCUGCAUCUUUUCAUUUGAAGUAUGGAGACAAAUAAAUGUAUAAAAAUCACUUAGUGUGUGUUUCUUAUACCUAGC
ensembl:lincRNA